GUUUACAGCCAUGCUACCCUGAACAAGCCCGAUUGCAUUUGAUCUCGGAAGCUAAGCAGGGUCGGGCCUGGUUAAUACUUGGAUGGGAGACCACCUAGGAAAACCAGGUGCUGUAGGCA
rnacentral:rRNA from 1 species